rnacentral:tRNA from 1 species
GGAGUUGUGCCUGAACUUUAAGGGCCACUUUGAUAGAGUGAAACACGGGGGUUAAAAUCCCCCCAACUCCU